ACGUCUUACUAUUUCGUACCACAUCAUAUAUCAAUAUUAUAAGAGGAUAGUAUUGGUACAGGGUCCAAUAUCAAGACAGCAAACCUUACUUUUAUAUAUAUAGAAGAAUGGCUAGACCAAAUUUAUUGCAAAUGAUGAUAUAAAAUUUAACAAUCUAAUAGUUAUAAGUAAGUUUGUAGUAUGAGAAGCAUACUGAUACUCGAUACACCAAAUCGAUCCUAUAUCGAUAUACUAAUAGGUGGGCACC
rnacentral:lncRNA from 1 species